rnacentral:tRNA from 2 species
UAUGCUAGGGCUGCAAUUUGUAGGUUACUCUGAUAUAGUAAAUUGUAGGGUAAAACUCUCGGUAUUU